UAACCUGCCCAAGAGAUCGGGAUAACACCUGGAAACAGAUGCUAAUACCGGAUAACAACAGAUGAUGCCUAUCAACUGUUUAAAAGAUGGUUCUGCUAUCACUCUUGGAUGGACCUGCGGUGCAUUAGCUAGUUGGUAGGGUAACGGCCCACCAAGGCGAUGAUGCAUAGCCGAGUUGAGAGACUGAUCGGCCACAUUGGGACUGAGACACGGCCCAAACUCCUACGGGAGGCAGCAGCU
rnacentral:rRNA from 1 species